UACGUAGGGGGCGAGCGUUGUCCGGAUUUAUUGGGCGUAAAGAGCUCGUAGGCGGUUCGAUAAGUCGGAUGUGAAAUCUCCACGCUCAACGUGGAGGGGCCAUUCGAUACUGUCGUGACUCGAGUCCGGUAGGGGAGUGUGGAAUUCCCGGUGUAGCGGUGAAAUGCGCAGAGAUCGGGAGGAACACCCGUAGCGAAGGCGGCACUCUGGGCCGGUACUGACGCUGAGGCGCGAAAGCUAGGGGAGCAAACGGG
rnacentral:rRNA from 1 species